ACAUCACUUCAGGAACUUUGCUGCGGUGUGUUCCCUCACACGAGCUGCUCAGUAAAGUCUUCACAUUAAUAGUCUUCCCCUCAGCGCUGAGCGUGUUUAUGCCGUUCUGGGUCAUGUAUUCGGCUUCUCGCGAAAUUAUUUACCCUGAAGUUUUUGGGGAUGUCGUCUCAGACUUCAAGUUCCACAGCGUCCACACUGUUCCACUAGUGGCAGUGGCAGCUGAGGUGACGCUUUUCCCACGGCCAUUUCCUCCAAAGUGGAUUGGAUUCGUUUCCAGCACUUCCAUCUACUGCUUAUACCUGGCCUGGGCAUUUUCACGAACGUCUUGCUGUCAACACUUCUCAAUACAUGAAUUCCAGUUUAUGUCCGUUCGACGAUUUGCAACGUUUCUGUCGAUGACGACGCUCUCCCAAUAUUGCGUGUAUUCAUUCUUCCAACUGGUCAACUCAGGAAUUAAAGGCCUCAGAAAUUUGCUUCACAAAGCCAUAGCCUUCAGAAGCACCAGCCUCCAUGCAGCGGAUAUCAACGCCAAGAAAAACUGUUGAUGAUUACAACUAUUCUGCAUAUUUAUUAAGAUUUCAGUGGUAUUUAGGAAAUUGAGUUUAAUUGGUCUUCAUUUGAGAAAGUAUAACCUUAUUUUUCUAUAACUUUAAUUAUGCAAUGAUUCAUCAUAAUUGUUAAGCUGUUUUUCAUAGUGAGUUACCACAAGCAGGGUAGCUUUAGCUUCCUCUCCACAUUGCGCGAUCGAGGUUGCCAGAAUAACUGCUUCAAAUUAAUUAAAGCUAAAUUUUUACCAUUUUUAAUCCAUUAUAGUGUACCCAAUUGAAUGUUUACAAGCCGUACGCUUUGCUGGUGCGUUUUAAGCGGUUACAAUACAAUUUCUAUAAAGUCA